rnacentral:tRNA from 1 species
GCAUCGGUGGUUCAGUGGUAGAAUGCUCGCCUGCCGGUUCGAUUCCGCUGAUACA